UCCUUAUUUGCUCCGUAGGAGGUACUUACAGUUUCUCCUGGUACUGCAACAAACUUACCAUUGCAAAUCGUAUCUGACAUAGCUUGUGUUGCAAUUUCUUAGCGGUGGUCCUCCCGGUUUAGUGAAAUCCGAACCAGACAAAAGCGCAGUCAAAUCCCAGCCGUGGUUCCUACCAGUUCCUUGCAUCAAAAUAUCCCUGCCUUGACACCGAUCGUGAUUCAAGCACCCCAACAGAAGCAGAAAUCGCAUGGACCAACAGUAAACCACAGCAGAUACAGAUCCAGCGAACAUAAAUCUUCCAACAAUAACAACAAGGCCCCACAAUCACCAUUCAGCAGCAGAGCGCGGUGACAAUAGAUCAACAGCAAACACAAUAUGUAGGAGCUCAAAAGCUACUUUCUCUUUCGACAAACAUGUUAUGGAAGUUCACGACAUGUUAAAACGGGCUAAACGUAAGCCAGGAAAAGGUCCUUCAGACAGAUAACAUUCAGGCGGCGUUGGUGUUGGUGGCAUUUCGAAGUCUUCUCCAGGAUUGAUUUAUACUGAACAUGAAUCAAUACUCCAAGGGAUAGCUUUUGAACACGGCCAACAGUUACACAGUUGUCUUGGUCAUCAGUGACGAAUUAAGAAAAACAUUAACAAUUUAUUCAAAACAUUCAAAAAAUGAGAGCAGAAACAUGAAAAAGAAAUAAACAAACAACAGCUGAUGUCUUUUUUCAGUUAUCAAAUUCGACAUCUGACGG